rnacentral:rRNA from 1 species
UGGGGAAUAUUGCACAAUGGGCGCAAGCCUGAUGCAGCCAUGCCGCGUGUGUGAAGAAGGCCUUCGGGUUGUAAAGCACUUUCAGCGAGGAGGAAGGUGGUGAACUUAAUACGUUCAUCAAUUGACGUUACUCGCAGAAGAAGCACCGGCUAACUCCGUGCCAGCAGCCGCGGUAAUACGGAGGGUGCAAGCGUUAAUCGGAAUUACUGGGCGUAAAGCGCACGCAGGCGGUUUGUUAAGUCAGAUGUGAAAAUCCCCGGGCUCAACCUGGGAACUGCAUUUGAAACUGGCAAGCUAGAGUCUCGUAGAGGGGGGCUAGAAUUCCAGGUGUAGCGGUGAAAUGCGUAGAGAUCUGGAGGAAUACCGGUGGCGAAAGGCGGCCCCCCUGGACGAAGACUGACGCUCAGGUGCGAAAAGCGUGGGGCAGCAAACAGGAUUAGAUACCUGGUAGUCCACGCUGUAAACGAUGUCGAUUUGGAGGUUGUGCCCUUGAGGCGUGGCUUCCGGAGCUAACGCGUUAAAGUCGACCGCC